rnacentral:lncRNA from 1 species
CAUCAAAUCACUGUUCAAAUAGUGAUUAGUUAUUAGCAAUUUAACACCCUACAGCUAAUAAGCCUAUUGCCUCUCUAUAUAUAUGAAGGGUUCCAAUAAUAAUAACAACGGAAAUUCCAGACCAAAUAUUAGAAGAUUAAAGUUCUAUCAUCUCCUCUUCUACAUAUAUAUUAGAAGCACUGAGAGGUUUGCUACGCAGGAGAUAUGACACCGUCGCUCCUGAAUCAAUCCUUUGGAAGGAGGCAUGGCUGCGCCGGUAUCAUACCUCCAGCGAAGGAAACAUUGCAAGUGUAUCGACGUUUAUGUUUAAAUACAGACAGUGGGGGGACAAGAAGUUUUGUAAGUUUGUUUUGUUCAUUUCAUUGUUUUUUUUUCUUUUUAAUAUGCUCAUUAUUUUCUGUUUUUUCUUCUGUUUUCUAAUGAAAGAUGAGCAUAGCAGAAGUAGGGAUGAAUACUUGACGUUCAAACUCCGUUUAAGACGGGUUUGAGCAUCAGCUGAACGGGUUUGGUUUGGAUCCGAUUUUAUCGAGUAAUAUUGGAACCAAUGGAAUAGCAUGUAAGCAAGUUUUAGAUAAGCAACCAAAUACUGAAAAAUAUUGAUUGAUCAACAUUAACAGUUGACCAAUACAACUUCAGUAACCUGAGCAGUCGUAUUCACGAGUACGUAAAUCCAUCUAAAAUGGAUUAUAGUAUUAGUUUGAAACAUAUAUGGAAAUUAAAUUAUGAACGAGUUAAUUUUUUUUUUUUAAAUAAGAUUGUUGAAGGGUUAAUUAAAUCCAACCAUAAACAUAAAAUUCUAAGAUUUUAUAAAUUAUAUAGUGUUGGUGAAAAAAUAAUAUUUUUCAAACCAAGAGAUUAAAUAAUGAAGGAACAGCUCAAAUUUGGUCAAUGAAUUUGGAAGCAAUAUUUUAUUUGCCAAAAAUCAACAUUUUUGCACAAUUUACUCUCCAAAUUUACAUCAAAGAACAAGAAGCUUAAUUUUUCUUAAAAAAUAAAUUUUAAGUAUUUUUAACUAAUAAAAAUAAUUAGGAAAAAAUUAUUUAAAAACAUAACGAUAAUUUUUAAAAAAUUAUAAUAUCUUGUCCUUGAUUUAAAAAAUAAUUGAACAGAAUAUUUAAUUUUUAAAAAAUACAUAUAGAAUUAGAAAAUACAAUAAAAGAAUUAAGUGGAAAAAAAAAACUAUUAUGGCAAAAAAUUUAAUUAAAAAAAUAAUAAAAUGGAUAGAAAGAAUUUUAUAUGAUAAAAAUAUAACUAAAGAAAAGUAAAAAGGUUAAAUAGAAAAUUCACUGUUAUAGCAACCGUGUUUCCCGAGACAUAUAUAUAUUACUUUGAUUAUAUGAAUAUUUUUAUAUUCACAUGCCUCCACCAUCCUUUCUUACUUCACUUAUCAAUGCUAAUAAAUUAUCCAUUAGAAUUGGUCUUCCCACAUGAACAACUUGCAGGAUUUAAUUUCUUCCCAAAAGCACAUGAUGGCUAGUCAUUACAACAAGCAGAAAAAGGAAACCCACAGUAAUUGGAGCAAAUAUUCAUGGUUCAGAUAUAAUAUCUAGCAGAUUAAAAGAGAACCCCGACAUGGUUCAAGUGAAUC